UCUACGGGUGGCUGCAGUGGGGCAUAUUGGACAAUGGGGGGAACCCUGAUCCAGCGACGCCACGUGAGUGAAGAAGUAUUUCGGUAUGUAAAGCUCUAUCAGCAGGGAAGAAAGAAAUGACGGUACCUGACUAAGCAGCCCCGGCUCACUACGUGCCAGCAGCCGCGGUAAUACGUAGGGGGCAAGCGUUAUCCGGAUUUACUGGGUGUAAAGGGAGCGCAGGCGGCGUGGCAAGUCCGAGGUGAAAACCCGGGGCCCAACCCCGGGAGUGCAUUUGAAACUGCCAUGGUGGAGUGCCGGAGAGGUAAGCGGAAUUCCUAGUGUAGCGGUGAAAUGCGUAGAUAUUAGGAGGAACACCAGUGGCGGAGGCGGCUUACUGGACGGUAACUGACGCUGAGGCUCGAAAGCGUGGGGAGCAAACAGGAUUAGAUACCCUAGUGUC
rnacentral:rRNA from 1 species